GGUGGCGCAGUGGUUGAGAAUCCGCCUGCCGGUGCAGGGGACACGGGUUUGAUCCCUGGUCCGGGAAGAUCCCACACGCCGCGGAGCAACUAAGCCCGUGCGCCACAACUACUGAGCCUGCACUCUAGAACCCAUGAACCACAACUACUGAGCCAACGUGCCACAAUUACUGAAGCCCAUGCACCUAGAGCCCAUGUUCCACAACAAGAGAAGCCACCUCAAUGAGAAGCCCAUGCACUGCAGUGAAGAGUAGCUCCCCCUCACCGUAACCCCUCACUGCAACUAGAGAAAGCCCACACACAGCAAUGAAGACCCAACGCAGCCAAAAUAAAUAAAUAAAUAAAUUUUAGGGCUUCCCUGGUGGUGCAGUGAUUGAGAGUCUGCCUGCUAAUGCAGGGGACACGGGUUCGUGCCCCGGUCCGGGAAGAUCCCACAUGCCGUGGAGCGGCUGGGCCCGUGAGCCAUGGCCGCUGAGCCUGUGCAUCCGGAGCCUGUGCUCCGCAAUGGGAGAGGCCACAGCAGUGAGAGGCCCGUGUACCGCAAAAAAAAAAAAAAAAAAGUAAGGGACUUUUAACACCCUGCUUAAAUCAAGGGA